rnacentral:rRNA from 1 species
UACGAAGGGGCUAGCGUUGCUCGGAAUCACUGGGCGUAAAGCGCACGUAGGCGGAUUGUUAAGUCAGGGGUGAAAUCCUGGAGCUCAACUCCAGAACUGCCUUGAUACUGGCGAUCUCGAGUCCGGGAGAGGUGAGUGGAACUGCGAGUGUAGAGGUGAAAUUCGUAGAUAUUCGCAAGAACACCAGUGGCGAAGGCGGCUCACUGGCCCGGUACUGACGCUGAGGUGCGAAAGCGUGGGGA